GGGGUUGUGGCUCAAGUGGUAGAGCACUCGCCUAGCAUGUGUGAGGCACUGGGUUCGAUCCUCAGCACCACUU
rnacentral:tRNA from 1 species